rnacentral:rRNA from 1 species
GCGUGAGUGAGGAAGGCCUUACGGGUCGUAAAGCUCUGUGUUAGGGAAGAACAAGUACCGUUCGAACAGGGCGGUACCUUGACGGUACCUAACCAGAAAAGCCACGGCUAACUACGUGCCAGCAGCCGCGGUAAUACGUAGGUGGCAAGCGUUGUCCGGAAUUAUUGGGCGUAAAGCGCGCGCAGGCGGUCUCUUAAGUCUGAUGUGAAAGCCCACGGCUCAACCGUGGAGGGUCAUUGGAAACUGGGGGACUUGAGUACUGGAGAGGAGAGUGGAAUUCCAUGUGUAGCGGUGAAAUGCGUAGAUAUAUGGAGGAACACCAGUGGCGAAGGCGGCUCUCUGGCCAGUAACUGACGCUGAGGCGCGAAAGCGUGGGGAGCAAACAGGAUUAGAUACCCUGGUAGUCCACGCCGUAAACGAUGAGUGCUAGGUGUUGGGGGGUUCCACCCUCAGUGCUGACGUUAACACAUUAAGCACUCCGCCUGGGGAGUACGACCGCAAGGUUG